rnacentral:rRNA from 1 species
GAUGAACGCUGGCGGCGUGCCUAAUACAUGCAAGUCGAGCGAACGGACGAGAAGCUUGCUUCUCUGAUGUUAGCGGCGGACGGGUGAGUAACACGUGGAUAACCUCCCUAUAAGUCUGGGAUAACUUCGGGACUCCGGAGCUAAUACCGGAUAAUAUUUUGAACCGCAUGGUUCAAUAGUGAAAGACGGUCUUGCUGUCACUUCUAGAUGGAUCCGCGCUGCAUUAGCUAGUUGGUAAGGUAACGGCUUACCAAGGCAACGAUGCGUAGCCGACGUGAGAGGGGGAUCGGCCACACGAGAAGUGAAACACGGUCCAGAGUCCUACGGGAGGCAGCAGUAGGGAAUCUUCCGCAAUGGGCGAAAGCCUGACGGAGCAAGGCCGCGUGAGAGAUGAAGGUCUUCGGAUCGUAAAACUCUGUUAUUAGGGAAGAACAUAUGUGGAAGUAACUGUGCACAGAGUGACGGUACCUAAUCAGAAAGCCACGGCUAACUACGUG